rnacentral:rRNA from 1 species
GUCGAGGGGUAUAUUUCUUUCGGGAGAUAGAGACCGGCGCACGGGUGCGUAACACGUAUGCAACCUGGCCACUACUGGGGGAUAGCCCGGGGAAACUCGGAUUAAUACCCCAUAACACAAUGGAAUCGCAUGGUUUUAUUGUUAAAGAUUUAUCGGUAGUGGAUGGGCAUGCGUCCGAUUAGCUAGUUGGCAGUGUAACGGACUACCAAGGCGACGAUCGGUAGGGGGUCUGAGAGGAUGAUCCCCCACACUGGUACUGAGAUACGGACCAGACUCCUACGGGAGGCAGCAGUAGGGAAUAUUGGGCAAUGGAGGCAACUCUGACCCAGCCAUGCCGCGUGCAGGAAGACGGCCUUCUGGGUUGUAAACUGCUUUUAUCAGGGAAGAAAACGCUCCUGCGGGAGUAACUGACGGUACCUGAUGAAUAAGCACCGGCUAACUCCGUGCCAGCAGCCGCGGUAAUACGGAGGGUGCAAGCGUUGUCCGGAUUUAUUGGGUUUAAAGGGUGCGUAGGCGGCUAAUUAAGUCAGUGGUGAAAGCCUGUAGCUCAACUAUAGAAUUGCCAUUGAUACUGGUUAGCUUGAGUUUGGUUGAGGUAAGCGGAAUGGAUAGUGUAGCGGUGAAAUGCAUAGAUAUUAUCCAGAACACCGAUAGCGAAGGCAGCUUACUGGGCCGAUACUGACGCUGAGGCACGAAAGCAUGGGGAGCGAACAGGAUUAGAUACCCUGGUAGUCCAUGCCGUAAACGAUGAUCACUCGCUGUUGGCGAUAUACCGUUCAGCGGCCAAGCGAAAGCGUUAAGUGAUCCACCUGGGGAGUACGCUCGCAAGAGUGAAACUCAAAGGAAUUGA